rnacentral:other from 1 species
CGCUGACCGAGACAUCACAGACACAUCAACUUAAGCUUUUCGUGCGUUUGAGAGGUAGGUGCUGCGGCCUGUCUUUUCGGACCUGCCCUUCGCAUUGUCCACUGUUCUGAUCCCGGGCCCUGUCAUCCUCAGCUCAGUAACCUCGGUGCGCUCCUGUGUUUGCGGCCUGUGGCUGGUUUUCCUGCGAAGCCCUAUAGCUGACUGCUGACCGACUGGCCGACGGCGCUGGAAAGAUGAAGCUGUCCCUGGUGGCUGCGGUGCUGCUG